AAAUUGAAGAGUUUGAUCAUGGCUCAGAUUGAACGCUGGCGGCAGGCCUAACACAUGCAAGUCGAGCGGUAGCACAGAGAGCUUGCUCUCGGGUGACGA
rnacentral:rRNA from 1 species